AAUGUAAGCCAGCAACCAGGAACCAACAGGAGAAACCAGGAGGCAAGGUCAGAAAUUAGGUCAGAACCAGAGAACAAGCCAGGGUUGAAGACCAGGAGUACGCUAGAGUUCAAGAAGCCCUUGUUGCUCAAGCAAAUUCAGCUGGCACAGGGCUCGUGGACAUACAAUGAAGCUGAACGCUAGGAGAUUCAGGAGAACAGAUUUAAAAAAGUACAAGCAGUGAACAUUUUGCACGUGUUCGAUUGGAAGGGUGGCAAACUGAACGAAGCCAACGAGAGACAUCUGUCAGGAGCUGGAGUCAGGCGUAAGUAGCAAUAAAACACUCAGAGUCAGUUAACUAUUCAAAGAAACCAAAACAGCACAGGCCGAGUGAUCCCAGCAACUCUUCCCAGCAGGUCUUGCCCCAAUGAGGCAGCUGAAUGAGGCACUGAAGGUCCCUGCCUUCCCACGUCUGCCUGUCCCCUCCUCUCCAGGGUCUCCCCCAAGCAUCCACAAACUGUGCCUGCCCUGCGCACAAUUAAUCUCUGCUCUGCUCUGCUCUGCUCUGUGUGUUCUAGGAGACCGGGGAGAGGGGAGCUGGUCCCAGCAGGAGUGGGAGACUUCUUCAGCAGCCUGCCUGGUCUCUGCCUGUUGUCCCUCCUCCUCUCCAGUCUCUGCUUCUGCCUCCGAUUUUAGACUGCUCUCUGCUCCAGAGUCUUCCCACUCACUAAACCCUGUUGCCUCUUCUGCUUCUGACACCUCCUCCCCCCAGUCUGCUCCCUCUUCUCCCUCGGACCACUCAUUGUCACCCCACCACCGCUCCCUGAUCUCUGAGCCUUCUUCUCUUGGGGGGUUCCCCAACUGCUGCCUCCCACUGGCAGUGGGUGCGGAUCCCGCUGCUCGCUGGCAAGAAUCAGCCUUUGGAAGAGAGGCUGCUCAUGCUGUUUCCUCCAUGGAGAACUGACGCUGUUUGAGAGACUAGCAUUGUCUGCCAGGGUGACUCCCUGCAGCUGAGCUUGCAAGCUUGUAAAUGAACAGAUCGC